GCCCAAGUUACCCACAUUUCUGCCCAGCUGACUACAACUUCUGGUUUCCAUGACCCCCUCUCAGGUGACCAGUCCGCAUCCUGAUACUGUCUCGGAGUCCCCCAGCCAAGAAUCAUCUCAUCAGCAUAAACUCAGGCAAUGCUGAAAGGCAUUCAGAAUGGUACUGGCCAUGUAACAUCCUCAGGAAAAUGGAGAAAGGAGUUUUUGGAGACUGCUAUGUAAGCCAGAAUACUAGUCACACAGUGCAGGUGGGAGCGGCGGGGAAGUAACCUCCUUUUUUUUUAGACUAAUACAUUUAUG
rnacentral:antisense_RNA from 1 species